rnacentral:rRNA from 1 species
UACGUAGGGACCAAGCGUUGUUCGGAUUUACUGGGCGUAAAGGGCGCGUAGGCGGCUUAACAAGUCACUUGUGAAAUCUCCGGGCUUAACUCGGAACGGCCAAGUGAAACUGUCAAGCUAGAGUGCGGAAGGGGCAAUCGGAAUUCUUGGUGUAGCGGUGAAAUGACGUAGAUAUCAAGAGGAACACCUGAGGUGAAGACGGGUUGCUGGGCCGACACUGACGCUGAUGCGCGAAAGCCCAGGGGAGGCAAACGGG